AGGUUUAUUGCCUGGCUAUAGACAGCCCGAGAAAGAAAGUUAGCUUCCCACCCCCGGCAGCUGCAGUGAUUGGAAAACGAGCCUGAGCCUUUUCACCGAAAAGAAUAUAUCAUUAUCCGUUGGGUUCGCCCUACUUCCCUGUUAAGAAUCACCUGAAGUGCCUAAAAAUCCGCGAGUUUCAGGGCUUUUCCCUGGAAAUAAUGAUUUAGAACGUCCUGGGGGAGGGCCUAGGAGUCUGUGGGUUUAAUAAGCACCUCCAGGAUUUGUGUCUUCGGACAUGAUUCGUGCUUGUGGACAAAACUGACCUCGGAGCUGAGGUGAGUGACAAACCAAAGUUGCCAGGCCUGAGUAGGGUCCUCGUGCCCAGAGGAGAAAGAGAAAAAACAAAGGAACUCUUUUCACUAAAUUCACCAGCUAUCUUCUGAUCCAGUUAAUUAACUGGGAAAACUAAAUUAAACCCUAACGCCUUAUUCAUCUUUGAGGGGACCUGUGAUGUCUCUGAGCACUAAUGGCAGGGAGGUGGGCAGUGCUGGGCUGGAACAUCUCCCAUGGACAGCCAAGCAGCAUUCUGUUAAUCGUGGCUAUUAAACUGCUUUCUUGGGAGUUGUUUUUGAUCCAUGUGGAAUAGAUUAAGAGUCUGUUUUGAAUCCCCUAGAGUUUCCUGUGGAGCAUAAUUAGAGAUGCAUUGGAAUAGGAAUUCAGGUCAACACUUUAAUGAGAUGUCUGAAGAGUAUGGCCCAGCAAGGGGGAGGGUAGAGGGAGUGGAGUGGUGGAGAUGAGGAAGGGACAUUGUCAGGAUGAGGGGGCAAAAGAAUGAAGAUUUUUGUGAGGAGGUGAAUGAAAGACAAGGAACCACAGAGGAGAGAGAAAUGGAGAGUGAGAGAAGCAAGGAAAUGAGAAUCAAGCAUUGAAAAAUCCUGGAACUUUCAAUAUUUAUGUAGCCAAAGUGUCUCUCUUGCUCACUCACUUGCUUGCUUGUGUACCACUAAUUGAGCAACUACUAUGGGCCAGAUGCUCUGGAAAAUGUUGUUCUGAAGAGGAGUACUAAUCUUCACCAGUGGUGCACCUAGCUGUAUUUUGCACAUUAGGAAACAGACCCAGAGGCACACCUCCCAGAUGCAUCUUCCUCAUGGGGUUGUCGCAGGGUUUAAGAAAAUGAACUCAUAUAAAGGGCUCAGAAUAGUGUCUGGAUCACAGAACUCUGAAGAAUUUAUGUCAGUGAUUCUGAAGUGAGAAUGGAACAUGGAUCCAACCCCUCUAAGGCAGAAGAGAUGUGAGCAGAUUACCUUCUCUGUCCUUAAAAGGAGUGGCCCUGCAUUCCCUGAGAGGGCAUAGCUGGGGCAGUCAUCUGGACCCACCAGACAGGAGCUGAAGCUUGAUAAAAGGUGCCUGGUUCCAGUGACUAUGGAGCAGCCUGCCAGCACUAGAGGAGUCACAGAGAUGUCUAGAUGAGUCACAGAGACAUUUACAUGACAGAAAAAUAAACAACUAUGUUGUUUAAGCCAUUAUUAGUCAGUCUUUCAGUU
rnacentral:lncRNA from 1 species